rnacentral:lncRNA from 1 species
AGACUUAAUAAUUUUGAAUGAGCCAAAGAAGACGAAGGGUACAUAUACAUGUAAUUAUUAUUUAUAUAUGUCAAUUAAAAUUCUUAAACAAUGAUUAUUUUAUAACAGAUAAAUACUUUUAUUUUGUAGGUGUAGACUAUGAAAUUGAUAAUGAUCUACUAGCCAUCCUAAGGAAGACAUAUGUUGAUCGAAUUUCUUUACAACUAUUACAAAACACCACUCUCCUUUGACGACAAGUUCUCGAUAUGUAUGCAUCUGUAAAAAAGUGGAGGGUAUUAUUCCUUAAAAAGAAGGCGGAAGCUUUAAGGCAUUAAAUAUUUUGUAACUAUAAUGUCGAC